rnacentral:rRNA from 1 species
AUUAGAGUUUGAUCCUGGCUCAGGACGAACGCUGGCGGCGUGCUUAACACAUGCAAGUUGAACGGAGGCAUAUCAUCACGACUUUUCGGAGGAGAGAUGAUGUGUUCUUAGUAGCGGACGGGUGAGUAAUGCAUGAGAACCUGUCCUUCAGAGGGGGACAACAGUUGGAAACGGCUGCUAAUACCCCAUAUGCCGAGAGGUGAAAGGAGUAAUCCGCUGAAGGAGGGGCUCAUGUCCUAUCAGUUAGUUGGUGAGGUAAAGGCUUACCAAGGCGAUGACGGGUAGCCGGCCUGAGAGGGUGACCGGCCACAUUGGAACUGAGAUACGGUCCAGACUCCUACGGGAGGCAGCAGUGGGGAAUAUUGGACAAUGGGCGAAAGCCUGAUCCAGCGACGCCGCGUGAGUGAAGAAGUAUUUCGGUAUGUAAAGCUCUAUCAGCAGGGAAGAAAAUGACGGUACCUGACUAAGAAGCCCCGGCUAACUACGUGCCAGCAGCCGCGGUAAUAAU